UCAAACUUGGUCAUUUAGAGGAAGUAAAAGUCGUAACAAGGUUUCCGUAGGUGAACCUGCGGAAGGAUCAUUACCGAGUGCGGGCCCUCUGGGCCCAACCUCCCACCCGUGACUACCGUACCCUCUGUUGCUUCGGCGCGGCCCCUGCGCGGCCCGCCGGAGACCCCCUCAGGAACGCUGUCCUCUGGAAGGUUUGCAGUCUGAGUUGGCAUGCGAGAAAUCGGCUAAAACUUUCAACAACGGAUCUCUUGGUUCCGGCAUCGAUGAAGAACGCAGC
rnacentral:misc_RNA from 1 species